rnacentral:rRNA from 1 species
CAGUCGCCACGGUAAUACAGAGGGUGCGAGCGUUAAUCGGAUUUACUGGGCGUAAAGCGUGCGUAGGCGGCUUUUUAAGUCGGAUGUGAAAUCCCUGAGCUUAACUUAGGAAUUGCAUUCGAUACUGGGAAGCUAGAGUAUGUGAGAGGAUGGUAGAAUUCCAGGUGUAGCGGUGAAAUGCGUAGAGAUCUGGAGGAAUACCGAUGGCGAAGGCAGCCAUCUGGCCUAAUACUGACGCUGAGGUACGAAAGCAUGGGGAGCAAACAGGAUUAGAUACCCGAGUAGUCCCUGUCUCUUAUAC